CUUCUCCACCUACGCGUUUAUUCCCAGUUCGAUCGUGGCUCGGAGAGCUACUUGAUGGGUUAGCGUCUUCCUGUCUUUCCUGCUAUUCCAACAACGGCUUGGGUUAGCGUCUUCCUGGAUAGCUUUCUUUCACUCUUUCACGGCCCGGCCGAGCAACAAUAGGAAGUGCUUUCUUAGCAUAAAAAAAAGCAAGCUUUCAAACCCUCACUGUGGUGGGUAUGGUCUGGACCUAUAGAAGAUCUUUUCAACAGGAAUUUUUUCCAAAAAGAUUGGAAGCUUUAGCGGAUGUGCCUGCCUAUGAUUGAUCUUUCUUACGGUGAAACCCGCUUGGUUUACUGGUUUCACUUCCUACUUGCUAACUCCGAGUUUGCAAAUAGGGAAUACCUUAGUUCAUUCCUUCUCAGGGCAUUUAGGAAUGUAUGGAUGGGGAUACUUCUUUGUUUGAGCUACCCUUGCUUUCGAGUUAGCUUACUAGUCUUGUUUCGGGGACUGGACUGGCUUGGUUUAACUCCGUGCUUAGCUGGAUUGGUUUAAGAAUUCGAUUCUACAGUCAUCGCGUACCUCCUUUGUUACACUCAGGGAGAUACCUACUUUCAUCGUUAGAUCGAGUUCUGCCUACUCGACUAAUACCAGCUAUCAUUUCUUAGUCUUGGAGGAGUGUUGAGUUGUGACAAGCUAUAUGGCUGUGACAUGGAGCCACUCAAAUUCGGUAAGUGAACUCCAACCCGAAACGCGGUCCCAAGCCUCCUUCAUCAUUAACAUCUCUCUUUCUCAUUCCCCGCUUGACAUCUUUUGUCUCUCAAUGGUGCUCCGCGCAUUCUGGAUAUUUUUGUUAAGCAUUCACUUAGAGAUGUCGUCUUCCUCCCGAUAAGAAGCUAUCGGCUUUUGCUACGGUACGGGUUUUUCGGGAAAAAUAAUUGGCCCGGAGAGUCUUUUACCUCUAGCCACUGAACCACCGCCCUUACGUUUACAUAAUAGGAGGGAGGCACCCGGGACAGAACAAUCAUGCUUUGGUCUUUUUGUGACGGGCUCCCUUUAUCACGACCGAAGCCUUUCAUAUCGGCUUCUGGGGCUUGGUUUGUUUUUGAUGGAAAGGGGCAAGGGACAGAGGAGUCCACUAGCCUGUCUUUCCGGCCUCACUUGAUCGG
rnacentral:lncRNA from 1 species